GGAGAAAAGCAGGGGAUCGCAAGACCUCGCGCUAAAGGAGCGGCCGAUGUCUGAUUAGCUAGUUGGUGGGGUAAAGGCUUACCAAGGCAACGAUCAGUAGUUGGUCUGAGAGGACGGCCAACCACACUGGGACUGAGACACGGCCCAGACUCCUACGGGAGGCAGCAGUGGGGAAUUUUGGACAAUGGGCGAAAGCCUGAUCCAGCCAUGCCGCGUGAGUGAAGAAGGCCUUCGGGUUGUAAAGCUCUUUUAGUCGGAAAGAAAGAGUUGCAAUGAAUAAUUGUGAUUUAUGACGGUACCGACAGAAAAAGCACCGGCUAACUACGUGCCAGCAGCCGCGGUAAUACGUAGGGUGCGAGCGUUAAUCGGAAUUACUGGGCGUAAAGGGUGCGCAGGCGGUCUUGCAAGUCAGAUGUGAAAGCCCCGGGCUUAACCUGGGAAUUGCGUUUGAAACUACAAAGCUAGA
rnacentral:rRNA from 1 species